AUGCCGCCCCCGGCCGCUCCCUCCUCGUACACCAGGUACGAGACGCGCCGCCGCAACCCCAACCCGCGGGAGGCGGCGCUCCUCGUCAUCGACGUGCAGGGCCACUUCGCGUCGCUGGCCGCGCCGGCCAUGCCGGCCAUCGCUGCCACCGUGGCGCUCUGCCGCGGCGCCGGCAUGCCGGUCGUCUACACCCGCCACGUCGACCCGGAGCCCCGGAACCACCCGCUCGCCGAGUGGUGGGCCGGCGACCGCAUCGACGCCGGGACACCCGCCGCCGAGCUGCUCCCCGGGGCCGGCCGCGCCGAGCGCGACCUCGUGGUGGAGAAGAGCACGUACAGCGCGUUCGCCGGCACGGGGCUCGAGGAGGCGCUCCGCGGGAUGGGCGUGGAGGAGGUGGUCGUGGCGGGCGUGAUGACCAACCUGUGCUGCGAGACCACCGCGCGGGACGCGUUCGUGAGGGGCUUCCGGGUGUUCUUCUCGGCCGACGCCACGGCCACGGCCAGCCGCGACCUGCACGAGGCCACCCUCGCCAACAUGGCCUACGGGUUCGCGUACAUCGUCGACUGCAACCGACUGGAGGCGGCACUCCGGAAGGACAAGUGA
rnacentral:rRNA from 1 species